rnacentral:rRNA from 1 species
CCUACGGGAGGCAGCAGUGGGGAAUAUUGGACAAUGGGGGGAACCCUGAUCCAGCGACGCCGCGUGAGUGAAGAAGCAUUCCGGUACGUAAAGCUCUAUCAGCAGGGAAGAAAAUGACGGUACCUGACUAAGAAGCCCCGGCUAACUACGUGCCAGCAGCCGCGGUAAUACGUAGGGGGCAAGCGUUAUCCGGAUUUACUGGGUGUAAAGGGAGCGUAGACGGUGCAGCAAGUCUGAUGUGAAAAGCCGGGGCCCAACCCCGGGACUGCAUUGGAAACUGUUGUGCUGGAGUACAGGAGAGGUAAGCGGAAUUCCUAGUGUAGCGGUGAAAUGCGUAGAUAUUAGGAGGAAUACCAGUAGCGGAGGCGGCUAACUGGAUGGAAACUGACGUUGAGGUGCGAAAGUGUGGGUAGCGAACAGGAUUAGAUACCCGGGUAGUC